GAUACCAAGAAGGGACUCUUUAAAAAAAAAUUAAGCCUGAUUGUUCUUUUGUGCUUUUACUGUCACCAACACAACAGCAGUUGAUUCAGAAUGUGAACUAUAAGGCGGCAAGUGAAUCAGUUUGGGAACCAGAAGUUCUUGAUUUAUGUCCCAGCACUUUCUGCUGAAGAUAUGACCCAUGGUGAAAGGAGUACAGCACAGUUUAUUAAGCGUGGGCGGCUUUGUAAGCAGUGGAAAUACAUUCAAAUACUCCAGGUUCUUCAACUUCGUGACUCGGACUGGCUUCUUUGCUCUGAAGAUUGCAGACAGCCUAUUGUGGGAGCUCACCUUGUGAUUGUGUUAUGUUUAAUUUCUUCACACCACUCAAAACUCAGCUUCUGAUUUCAAGAGUUCAACAACAGCCCUGAAGGAUUCUGUCUGCUUUACAGCUAUAGGCAGCUUCUGAAAAGCCACUCUGCCCUAAGAAGUCAGCCUACAUAAUUGAAGACAAGUGAUGUAAAUAAUUUGCCCUGUGUAAGUAAAAUGAAAACACAGCAUGUUAACUAUUUUUAGUUCCAAUUACUAGGUAAAUCUGCUAUUAAAUUAUUGCAUUCAAGGCUGCUGGAAUAAGCUUAGAAUUAUACUUGGUAUGCCAUACCAUUUUUAAAAUGUGAAAUCUAAAUUAUUUUUCUGUCAAGAUUUAAGUUUAGUGAUUGAACAUGUACAUGAUCAAUUUCUUGCUCUGAUUGAACUUCCACUUUAUGAGAACUAUGUUAUUGGAUCAGAUUUCUCCUAGAAAUAUCGUGUGAGAAUUUGAGACAAAAUUAAUAAUCACCCCAAUUUUUAACUUUUCCACAGAGCCAUCCAUCUCAUCUGUCCAUGAAACACCUUUUAACUUCAAAGGAUAUUCAAAGUUCAGAAAAGAUAUAUGAUGUACAAAAAAGGCUUGUAGGGGGCAUAAUGGCACGCUGCAUUAAUGUAGCAUUCUGAAUUAAAAUAACUUCUUUCCUUUUCAAUAAUAUCUUGACAUAUUCGUGGUUCUUUAACAAAAACUUGGAAGGUGAGAUGGAUGAAUUUAGAUUUUGUAUGAUGCCUGCAUAGUAAAACCACUGAGCACAGGAAUCAUUUAGAAGCAAAUUUCAGUGGUUAUAUGUUUUUUAAAUCAGUAUUUAGGGAGAAUAUUUGCAUAAUAAUAUUACUAAUUUCAUAUAUUUCUCUAUCAGACAUGCAUUAAAAAGACAUUAAGUUAUAGUACCAUGGAGGAGAAUAAGUUCUGAAGUUAAACAUGAAUGUGACUACCGGAUGCAUCAAUACUAGCUUUUUAUAAAACUACUUAAGCAUCUUUGAACCCACCUGUUAAAGGUGGAGUUAAAAUAUAGCUUAAAUAUAUCUUGGACAAUGGGGUAACUUUUCAGUAUAAUUUAUUUUUCUUUUCUACUAAAUCUUCAUUUGAUAAAUGACAAUUUUCAGUUACCAAUAAAACUAAUGGGAUAAUGAUUUAUUCAGAAAUCAAUUACAGAGUCGUGCUGUGUAUGUGGUCUUGAAUUACACAUAAAUACAAUGUUAUCCUAGACCUUGGCAGUCUCUACCGUGUUUGUGUCCCUGAAAUAAAUUUGCAUAUAACCUGAUCUUUGACAUAAGAAACUCACAAUGAAGCAGCUGUUAACAUUUUAUUAUCAGCUGUUAACAUUUUAUUCUCAUCUCUGGAAUGAGAUAACAAACAGAGCAAGGUGCUUUGGGAAGGAAAGGCUAGGUAUCUUUUACUAGAAACUCUUAUCUCAUUAUUUAUAUACAAUAUUAUUACACAGAGAGUUUCAUUUUAAUGAUUUUGAAGAACAAUAUAAUAGCUGUGUGUAAAAAGAUCGUUUUCAUAAAGUCUCUUCUUUAAUUUAUAUAUUUAAGAGGAGAGAGGCUUUGCUUAUAUUUUGCCAUACAUGAUACUCAUCAAAUACUGAUUGUCUGACUGACUGUCCUAAUUGAAGAACUAAAUGAGGAUAGGUGCUUUUGAUGAGGAAUGGCUUCUGUCAUAUGCUUUUCUGGUUGUAUAUUCAGAGUUAAUGAAUUUCUGCAGUGUCUGUAUCUGUUAGUCUUUUCAUGACAAACACAGUAACUAUAUGCUGUGAUUUGUGUGUGUCCCCCAGAAUUUAUGUGUUGGAAAUUUGGUUCCUCAUGUGGUGAUUUGGGAGGCAGUAUCUUUAAGAGAUGAUUAGGUAAUUAAGAGGGAUUAAUGCUGCUGUCACAGUACUGAAUUAGUUACUGCGACAGUAGGUUAUUAUAAAGCAACGACAUUCUUCAUAUUUUGCCACUUUCACACUCAUGCCUUUGCCCUCUUUUCAUGUGAUAACUUGCACCUUUCUCUCACCAGAUGCUGGUCCCAUGUUCCUGGACUUCUCAGUCUCCCCCAGAACUGUAAAAAAUAAAUUUCCUUUCUUUAUAAAUUACCCAGUCUGUGGUAUUCUGUUAUAGUAAAGGAAAACAAGCUAAGGCAUUAUGUUAAAUCUUGUAAAAAGAACCUCUUUCCUAUGAUUAGAGCUCCUCUCAUAUGCAUAUAGAAAUCCAAUGUUGAAGCUAUCAUAAUUCUACUGAACCAUCAACUUCAACCCACCCAGGUAAGAUUAUGCCUUCUUGAAUAUAAGAGAAACUUCCCCAAUCCCUUACCCAACCAAAAGGAUGAAUCUUCGAGAAAAAUAUCAAAAAGCCCUGCUUCAAAUCAGUAAAUAUUUGGUGGUAGGUGAGUGGUGUUUUCAAAUAAUAAAUACAAUCAUUCACUCUCUGUUAUGACUUUUUGAAGAUAAUUCAUUUUUGUUUUUCUUCUCUUAAGGGCUGAUUUAAACUUUCACAAAUGUAACAUCAUAUUGAAUCACAUCACAUUGAAUUUGUAAUGAAAAAAUGUGUUCCCCAGACGUCUUAUGACCUCUGAAACUUGGAAACCAAGUUGGCAACUGAGGAAAAAACUAUUAUUUCCAUCAAAAACUAUGGCAACAAAAACAUGGUCAUGUUCAUUUUAAUUACUUCUGCCAUUUUACUUGUCCCUCUUUCUAGUUAUCUUUCUUAAGAAUAUUAAUCAGUCUAAAGAGAAUAAAUGAUUUAUUAUUUUCAGAGAGGUAGGUGUUUUGAACAGAUCUUAGAGCCAUGUGGGUCAGUGUUGUCAAUCCCAGAUUUAUCUGUUUAAAAUGCAUGCCUCAUGGACUUACACUUAUUAAUGUUAUAAUGUAGGUAAGAAUCUUACCCAGUGCUCAGUACAUACUAAGUUGUGGGUAAAACCUGCUUAUUACUAAUUAUUCAACAAUUCACAGAAAAAUGGAAAAUUCAGUUGUUCAAAUUAUCACCAAUAUGGGUGUUUUCUUUAUAAUGUGAUAAGAUUAUUUGAAUUUUAUGACACAUAUGCCAUGAAUUUAAGAUAAGUAUAAUAUGGUUGCUUUAAGUUUUUCUUUUUCAAUUACAAUAAUAAUAAUACAAACCUCCUUAGAUCUAUACACUUGAGAUAUUUAAAACACAAUGUGUAUGCAAAACAUCAUAACCUGGUUCCUCAAAUCAACAAGGGACUAUGAGUUUUAUUUGUAUGAGAGGUCUUGGACCUGUGGUAUUUUGUUUACUACUUAUCACUUUUGAUGGCCACCCAUUUGAAUAGAGAUCUAAUCUGGCUCUGGGGGCAGGGAAGAUCUUGGGACAGGAAAACUACCCCUUUCUUUAGGAGAUGGCCCAUUGAUCUUUGCUUUUAUCAGCUCCUGCAACUAUCAUUUGAAGGUAAAGAUCAAGUUAUUUACAAAUUGCUUUAGAUUGAAAGGCAUUAGACUAGGCAAGGUGAAAAUUAAGAGCUUGUGAAUACAUUGUAGGUGGAAAUAAUUUUUGGAAACGAUUUCCCAGUAUAUAUAAUACACAAUUUCUAAAAUGAACAAAAGUUUGAAAUAAGUUUUAAAUAAGAUGUUGAAAAGAUGUAAGCGUAGCUGCUUUAAUCUUAAUCAAUGCAACUUGUGAUGAGGUAAUGAAGAGCAGGCAAUCAGUCAGAACCCAAUCUACCCAAAUGAAAUCUCAAACAACAGAGGAUAUUUUUUACUUUAGUUUGUGUUAAGAGAGAUGGGCAAUGUAAGUGCUAUGCAGAUUUAAUGUGCUAAUGAAAUAAAUUCAUCAAGAUUUAAAUUAUGGAGGAAAUUAAAAUAAGAAACUGUUCUGUACACAAAAGAGACUAUGUCCCAAGAGAAUAUCCAGCCUUGGUAAAGAACAACCCUAAUGAAUUUUAGAAUAGAUUUACAAAAUAUUAUAUAUCACCUGUUUUUAAAGACUUUUUAUUCUUUAGUUUCCUUAGUCAGUCCCUAGAAUUUUUAUUUAGGAAAGACCCUAGAAAUAGAAAUCUGAAAUGCUCAGCCAACAAAAGCUUUGUGAAGUUGUUUGCCCAGCCAAUGUAUUGUUGGUGGUUAGAUCAUUAGUCUACUACUUCGAUUUUGGGUGCUCAGUGAAGUACCUGGAGGCAUUCAAGGGUGUGAGCACAGAUAAUUUAAGGGAAUUAAUUUCUAAUUUAAAUAAUUUCAUCUUUUAUGUUAAAUAUUUCCUAAGGCCAUUUGAUGGAGCUUCAAGUUCUAAUUUUCUUUUUUUUUUCUUUUGAGAUGGAGUGUUGCUCUGUCGCCCAGGCUGGAGUGCAGUGGCAUGAUCUCGGCUCACUGCAAGCUCCGCCUCCCAGGUUCAUGCCAUUCUCCUGCCUCAGCCUCUCAAGUAGCUGGGACUACAGGCACCCGCCACCACGCCUGGCUAAUUUUUUUUGUAUUUUUUAGUAAAGACGGGGUUUCACCAUGUUAGCCAGGAUGGUCUCGAUCUCCUGAUCUCGUGAUCUGCCCUUCCUCAGCCUCCCAAAGUGCUGGGAUCACAGGCGUGAGCCACCAUGCCCAGCCCAAGUUCUAAUUUUCUGCCAUGUUAUAAUAAACCUCUCCCAAUUUUUCAAAGUAAAAUAUCUGUUGCCCAGCACUAAACUAGCAGGGUGAUUGCCCCAGAAAAUUACAAAGAUCCUAGGCAUCACUACUGAGACCAAUCAAAAUGUUUUUAUAAUGAUUUUGAAAAAAUAAAGAAUUUUAAUGACAGGAUAAAAAAUAAAUACAUUUGAAAAUCAAAUGAUUCCAACUAUCAGUUUUCAACAAAACUAAAGAAUUUACCUACUUGGAUUGUUUGUUGAUAGGCCACUUAAAAAUAAUAUUUGCUGAAGAAUUAGAAUGAGACAUUUACAAACACCUGAAAAGAGUUGAAAGAAUUCAAUGUCAUUGCUAGAAUAGCACACUUAUCCUCAUCUAUUUGUUUAUGUGGACAAGUUAUUUCAAUACCUACAUCUAUAAAGAUGAGUGUAUUAGUUCAUUUUCAUAUUGCUGUUACAGACAUGCCCGAGACUGGACAAUUUACAAAAGAAAGAAGUUUAUCAGACUUACAGUUCUAUGUGGCUGAGGAAACCUCACAAACAUGGCGGAAGUUGAAAGGCACAUCUCACAUGGUGGUAGACAAGAGAAGAGAACUUGUGUAGGGAAACUCUGAUUUUUAAAACCAUCAGAUCUGGCGAGACUCAUUCACUAUCAAGAGAACAGUGCAGGAAAGACCCGCCCCCAUAAUUCAAUCACCUCUCACCAGGUUCCUCCCAUGACAUGUGGGAAGUACAAUUCAAGAUGAGAUUUGCUUGGGGGCACAGCCAAACCAUAUUAUUCCACCACUGGCCUCUUCUAAAUCUCAUGUCCUCAUAUUUCAAAAACCAAUCAUGCCUUCCCAAUAGUCCUCCAUAGUCUUAACUCAUUUCAGCAUUAACUCAAAAGUCUACAGUACAAGGUCUCUUCUGAGACAAGUCAAGUCCCUUCUGCCUAUAAGCAUGUAAAAUCAAAAGCAAGUUAGUUACAUCCUAGAUACAAUGUGGGUACAGGCACUGGGUAAAUACAGCCAUUCCAAAUGGGAGAAAUUGGCCAAAACAAAGGGGCUACAACCCCAUGUAAGUCUGAAAUCCAGCAGAGCAGUCAAAUCUUGAAGCUCCAAAAUGAUAUUUUGACUCAAUGUCUUACAUCUCAGUCAUGCUGAUGCAAAAGAUUGCUUCCUGUGGUCUUAGGCAGCCUCGCUCCUGGCUGUUUCCAUGGGCUUGUGUUGAGUGUCUGUGGCUUUUCCAGGCUCACAGUGCAAGCUGUCAGUGAAUCUACAAUUCUGGGUUCUGUAGAAUGAUGUCCCUCUUCUCACAGCUCCACUAGGUAGUGCCCCAGUAGGGACUCUCUGUGGGGACUCCAAACCCACAUUUCCCUUCCAUGCUGCCCUAGCAGAGGUUGUAUAUGAGAGCCCUGCCCCUGAAGCAAACUUCUGCCUGGGCAUCCACUCGUUUCCAUACAUCCUCUGAAAUGUAGGCGGAGGUUCCCAAACCCCAAUUCGUCACUUCUGUGUACCAGCAGGGUCAACACCAUAUAGAAGCUGCCAAGGCUUGGGGCUUGAAUCCUCUGAAACCAUAGCCCAAGCUCUAGGUGUACCCCUUUCAGCCAUGGCUGGAGUAGCUGGGAUGUAGGGCACCAAGUCCUGCGCAUAGCACUGGGACCCUGGGCCCGACCCACAUAACCACUUUUUCCUCCUAGACCUCCAGGCCUGUGAUGGGAGGGGCUUGUGAAGAGCUUUGAAAUGCUUUGGAGACAUUUUCCCUGUUGUCUUUGGGAUUAACAUUUGGCUCCUAGUUACUUAGGCAAAUUUCUGCAGCUGGCUUGAAUUUCUCCUUAGGAAAUGGGAUUUUCUUUUCUAACGCAUUGUCUGGCUGCAUAUUUUCUAAACUUUUAUGCUGUGCUUCCCUUUUAAAACUGAAUAGCUUCAACAGCACCCAAGUCACCUCUUGAGUGCUUUACUGCUUGGAAAUUUAUUCCACCAGAAACCCUAAAUCAUCUCUCUCAAGUUCAAAGUUCCACAAAUCUCUAGGGCAGAGGCAAAAUGCUGCCAGUCUAUUUGCUACAACAUAACAAGAGUCACCUUUGCUCCAGUUCCUAAAAAGUUCCUCAUUUUUAUCUGUGACCACCUCAGCCUAGACUUUAUUGCCCAUAUUUCUAUUAGCAUAUUGGUCAAAGGCAUUCAACCAGUCUCUAGGAGGUUCCAAACUUUCCAACAUUUUCCUGUCUUCUUCUGAGCCCUCCAAACUGUUCCAACCUCUGCUUGUUACCCAGUUCCAAAGUGGCUUCCACAAUUUCAGGUAUCGUUUCAUCAGUGCCCCACCCUACUGGUACCAAUUUACUGUAUUAGUCCAUUUUCAUGCCACUGAUAAAGACACACUUGAAACUGUGCAAUUUAAAAAUAAAGAGGUUUACUGGACUUACAGUUCCACAUGGCUAGGGAGACAUCACAAUUAUGACAGAAGGUAAAAGGUCCAUCUGACAUGGUGGCAGACAAGAGAAGAGAGCUUGUAUAGGGAAAUUCCCAUUUUUAAAACCAUCAGAUCUCGUGAGACUCAUUCAUUAUCAUGAGAACAGUGCAGGAAAGACCUGCCCCAUAAUUCAACCACCUCCUACUGGGUUCCUCCCAUGACACAUGAGAAUUGUGGGAGUUACAAUUCAAGAUUAGAUUUGAGUGAGCGCACAGCCAGACCAUGUCAAUGACCUAAAAAAUAGUAAGAAUAGAAUGUAUGGUAAACUCUGUCCCAUUGUAAUAAUAAAUUAAUCAUUAAUAUAAAUUACGUUCUCAUAGAGAGCUGUGUUUUCAAAAAUCACUUUAAUUUGUUAAAGUUGUUUAUGAAAACAUGAUAAGUUUACAUCAUUUAUAACAGGGACUAAUAAUUACUAGAAGAAUAACUUACUCUUGAUUUUUUUUAUUUACAGAU
rnacentral:lncRNA from 1 species